rnacentral:rRNA from 1 species
CUCGGACCGCGACCCCAGGUCAGGCGGGGCUACCCGCCGAGUUUAAGCAUAUAAAUAAGCGGAGGAAAAGAAACUUACGAGGAUUCCCCUAGUAACGGCGAGCGAACCGGAAAGCGCCCAGCUUGAGAAUCGGGCGGCCUUGCCGCCCGAAUUGUAGUCUGUAGAGGCGUCCUCAGCGGCGGACGGGGCGCAAGUCCCCUGGAAGGGGGCGCCGGAGAGGGUGAGAGCCCCGUCGCGCCCGGACC